CGCAUUGUAGAAAGUUGGACGAGCAAAUAGUGGUGCGACUGGGCGAAUUCGAUGUCGAUACACAGAUAGAUUGCAGAGAUCGAGGAUGCGCACUUCCCUUUGAAGACCAUGAAGUCGAGUCCUUUUAUUCGCAUCCUUCCUACACGACGCUCAAGCACUUCGAUAUAGCUCUCGUUAAACUCAAGACAAGGGUGGUAGAGCAAAACAACAUCACACCGAUCUGUCUGCUUUUGGACACCACGGACACAUGGCAGCGCUAUGUAGAUUCCAUUCAACAGUUCUCUGUGGCCGGCUGGGGCUGGACUGAAGCGGGUUCGUUUAGCCACG